UAACAAUCAUUCAUUCAAUUUAUCAUAUUAUAACGAAUAUAUCAUCAUUGUUAAUAAUAGUCUUCGGUGGGAACUGAGUUGGAGGAGGAAAAAGGCAUGCAAAGUCAUCAUAGCUUCAUCCCCUCAUCUCAUAUGAUUGGGCUAACAUCAGCACCACCAUCGCUGCCUUGUCAACUUGAAGUGGGACACACUCGAGAGUUCCUACAGGAUGAUGGUGUGCAGAAAGUAGAAAUGGAAUCCAUACAACACAGAUACAGGAUCACACAGCCCAAAACACAAAAGGAAAUACGAGUGUGGAGAGAGCUUAGGCUUUGACCAGAGAAAGCUGCCUCCCGGGAAGAAUGAGUUUUGGAUCUUUGAGGCAGAAUGCAGGGCCUGGAAUUCAAACUUUUGGCUGCAGCUGCUGACAAAGUGGGAGUGGAGAGGACACUGCAGUGUCUUCCAUCUUGGUAGCUAAGAUUCAAAGAGGUCCC
rnacentral:lncRNA from 1 species